UACUUAGUGGCAGACGGGUGAGUAACAUGUGGGUAUCUACCCUUUGGCCUGGAAUAACACGAGGAAACUUGUGCUAAUACCGGAUAAGUCUUUACGGAGAAAGCUUUAUGCACCAUUGGAUGAGCCCGCACUUGAUUAGUUUGUUGGUAGGGUAAUGGCCUACCAAGACCAUGAUCAAUAGCUGAUUUGAGAGGAUGAUCAGCCACAUUGGGACUGAGACACGGCCCAAACUCCUACGGGAGGCAGCAGUGGGGAAUCUUGCACAAUGGAGGAAACUCUGAUGCAGCGAUGCCGCGUGAGUGAAGAAGGCCUUUGGGUUGUAAAGCUCUUUCGUCGGGGAAGAAAAUGACUGUACCCGAAUAAGAAGGUCCGGCUAACUUCGUGCCAGCAGCCGCGGUAAUACGAAGGGACCUAGCGUAGUUCGGAAUUACUGGGCUUAAAGAGUUCGUAGGUGGUUGAAAAAGUUGGUGGUGAAAUCCCAGAGCUUAACUCUGGAACUGCCAUCAAAACUUUUCAGCUAGAGUAUGAUA
rnacentral:rRNA from 1 species